UACGUAGGGGGCGAGCGUUGUCCGGAGUUACUGGGCGUAAAGCGCACGCAGGCGGUCUGCUAAGUUUGGAGUGACAGUUGGUGGCUUAACUGCCAAAGUGCUUCGAAAACUGACAGACUUGAGGGCUUCAGAGGGACGACGGAAUUCCGGGUGGAGUGGUGAAAUGCGUAGAGAUCCGGAGGAACACCAAAGGCGAAGGCAGUGUCCUGGGGAGUACCUGACGCUCGAGGUGCGAAAGCCAGGGGAGCGAACGGG
rnacentral:rRNA from 1 species